rnacentral:rRNA from 1 species
UACGGAGGGUGCAAGCGUUGUCCGGAAUCACUGGGCGUAAAGGGCGCGUAGGCGGCUCAUGAAGGCUGUGGUGAAAGUCCGGGGCUCAACCUCGGAUCGGCCGUGGCGACUCGUGGGCUGGAGCACUGUAGAGGCGGGUGGAAUUCCGGGUGUAGCGGUGGAAUGCGUAGAGAUCCGGAAGAACACCAGUGGCGAAGGCGGCCCCGCUGGGCAGUGGCUGACGCUGAGGCGCGACAGCGUGGGGGAGCCAAAACAGGAUUAGAAAACCC